AUUUUUUGGGGGUGGGUUAAAAAGAUGAGCUUACAGGGUGCGGGGCCUGACAGCCAAGAUGGCCGGUUGCGCUUUCUAGGAGCUCCGGCAACACUGAGCGAAAAUAAGCAUAUCAUGAUCGAUUCGACACCCAACGAAGCUCUGUGUGCCCGGAGGUCUGAGCAGAAACAAGCAGGAAACCUGUCCCAUGCGAACACGCCACGAUAACGCUCUGUCCGGCCAUGCGGCCUAGCUUUGAGCGGGGCCAGGAGUCUGGGGGAGGCGGCAAAUUCCCCCGGCACAGGACACUCACUGCAGCCA